UUAUUUUUUCAUAGUUUUCUAUGAUUAAAUAGCUCUGUUAUUGUUUAGACAUUAUCACAGUUUUGACAGACACUGAGACACUCAGUGUCAGUGAUCAGUUGAUAAGUACUGUGACUUGUGACUGGUUACUGCUACUGUUCCUGGCAGGUAACGCCGAGUAUGUUUUGUGGAUAGUAUAUAGCGGAAACUCACCCUACAACCCAAUAUGAGAAUGUCUGGGUCCUUCGCUUAGUUCCAUUUCCACCAUCUCCUGUGGGAGGAUUGUAGUUGAAAAGAACGCCAUGUUCUUUGAUGCCAUUCAGUGCUGUACUGCAUCCGUAGGUUCCACCAGACUCCUGCAAUAAAAGUUUCAUGAAGGACAUGAUGAAUGUGCGUGGAUGUAAAUCUGAAGUUGUCCAUGAUCUGAGCAUGGAAAGGUGGAGGUUGUUGUGGUAGAGAAGAUGCCGGUGAAGAACAUGAGGAAUUAAAAGGCUGUAUAAGAACU